GCCGGUGUAGCUCAGUAGGCAGAGCAGCGCAUUCGUAAUGCGCAGGUCAGCGGUUCGAAUCCGCUCACCGGCACCA
rnacentral:tRNA from 1 species